GCAGGGAUAACAAAGCGGUCAAAUGUGACGGGUUUAGGACCCGUUGGCUUAGUGCCUUCGAAGGUUCGAAUCCUUCUCCCUGCA
rnacentral:tRNA from 1 species